CUGACGCAGGGCUCAAACCCAUGGAACCGUGAGAUCCUGACCUGAGCGGAAACUAAGACACGGAUGCUUAACUGACUGAGCCACCCAGGUAUGCCCCAUUCUCACAGCAGAAUUUUAAGAAACGCUCUUUCCCAUGUUAUUACUCUAUAGCCAGAUUGUCUAUUUGUGUUGUUGUUGAACAGUCAACAACAUAGCUGACUUACAAUAUUAUAUUAGUUUCAGGUGCACAGCAUAGUGAUUCGACAAUUACAUACAUUAUGAAAUGCUGACCACAGAAGUGUAGUCCAUCUGCCACCAUACAAAGUUAUUACAAUAUUGCUGACUAUAUUCCCUAAGCCAUACUUUUCACCUCCAUGUCUUUUUUAUUUUCAAACUGGAGGUUUGUAACCUCCUAAUCCCCUGUUUCACCUUCCUCCCCUCUGGUGACAACCAGUUUGUUCUCUGUAUUUAUGAUUCUAUCUCUGAUUUGUUUGUUUAAUUUUGCUUUCUAGAUUCCACAUGUAAGUGAAAUCAUCUGGUAUUUGCCUUUUUCUGUCUGACUUACUUCACUUACACAUUGCCUAGAUUUGAAUCUCAGCUUUGCCAGUUUUUAGUUAUGUGACCUUGGAUAAGUUCCCUAAAUGUUCCAUGGCUGUUUUCUCAUCUGUUAAGUAGGAACAAAUAAUGACCACCUUUUAUGUCUGCUAGGAAGAUUAAAUGAAUUAAUAUAUGCCAGGUCCUUAGAACAGUUUCCACAGGAUAGGCAGUUAUUUCCAAGUUCCUACCCCACAGUCCUCAAACUACUCUAAUAUACAGCCUGGGCUGGCUAUCUUUUCUCCCUUGACCCUUCCUCUUCUCAUCUUCAUUUAUUUUCUCUAGCUAACAGCUCUUUGACCUUUCCAAAAUAAAUUGUUUUAGCCUCUUCAAGCUUCUUCAGUACCACCCCCCGCCCCCGCCACUUUGUGCAUUAACCCCAUUCUCUUAGAAGGGAGCAGGACAGGGGAAGAUUGCAAAAACUUACCCACUACAAUUCUUUUCAAAAAUUUCUGUCACACAAGUUUAGCAAUAUCUAUGAUCCUGAUUUCUAAAAAAAGCAUUGCUCUAUCUAUCACACAUUAAGAUUACAUCAUUAAUGAAAAGAACUCCAGAAAAUUUUUAAUUAGUUGAAAUAUUUCAAAGGAAGAUGAGGCAAAUAAGGAAAUCAAAUAUUUUUCUGAAUCAUAAAACUCUUCCUGAAUUUUCUGUAUUAUGUUAUAGUUCAGACUUUAGUAUUCAAUAUUCAGCUUCUCCAUUCAAGCAGCUUUCCAGCGUCAGUGUCUAUGCCUUAAGACACUGGUCACUAACAAGUACCAGGACAUUUUGUGAACAAUCAGUAAAAUAAACUAUUUACUGACUGUUUAUAAAAUCACACCUCAUUUGAGGUUCCCUGGUAAUUAGUUGGAAUUGGCAUUGGCUUACUCAUUACAGUUGGACUAACAAAAGGGAAAACACCAAAUUGAUUUCACCUUAUUUAUGAGCACAAACAGUGAAAAGCAUUUUUCUUUUAAGCUUAAAGUUAGGGGGCAACAGAUCAAGUUAAGGCAGGGACUGCUCUGGUUAUCACUUGGCCCUAGCUGGUUGGUUAUACCAUGUGGCUAAUGACCUCUUGAUAUAAUUAUAUCAUUCCUUAUCUCUCUUAAAAGUUGUUAGUUCUAGGUCUCCUUUUAAAACAUAACAUUUAUUGAUCACUUUCAGUGUGCCUGUAGCCCUUAGCAUGCAUGAACCCAUCUGUUCUUCACAGAAACCCUAGGAGUUAGGUCCUUUUAUAACACUAUUUUGCAGAUGAGAAAACC